AGAGUUUGAUCAUGGCUCAGGACGAACGCUGGCGGCGUGCUUAACACAUGCAAGUCGAGCGGUAAGGCUCCUUCGGGAGUACACGAGCGGCGAACGGGUGAGUAACACGUGAGCAAUCUGCCCUUCACAUCGGGAUAACCCCCGGAAACGGGAGCUAAUACCGGAUACGACCACUUCAGGCAUCUGAUGGUGGUGGAAAGUUCCGGCGGUGAAGGAUGAGCUCGCGGCCUAUCAGCUAGUUGGUGAGGUAAUGGCCCACCAAGGCUUCGACGGGUAGCCGGCCUGAGAGGGUGACCGGCCACACUGGGACUGAGACACGGCCCAGACUCCUACGGGAGGCAGCAGUGGGGAAUAUUGGACAAUGGGCGAAAGCCUGAUCCAGCAACGCCGCGUGAGGGAUGACGGCCUUCGGGUUGUAAACCUCUUUCAGCGCAGACGAAGCGAAAGUGACGGUAUGCGCAGAAGAAGCACCGGCCAACUACGUGCCAGCAGCCGCGGUA
rnacentral:rRNA from 1 species